rnacentral:lncRNA from 14 species
CCUUGCUUGUUUCAAUACAGGCUUCAGUUUUCUCAUCUGUAUGCUGAACUCAGCUACUCGGGACCUCUAGUUGAGGUCGUGAAGAUACCGACACUCAUGUCAAACAACAGUCCCUGGGAUUCUAACCUACAGGCUAAUGUUGUUAAGCAUUUACAAGGGAGCUGA